rnacentral:rRNA from 1 species
UACGUAGGAGGCGAGCGUUGUCCGGAGUUACUGGGCGUAAAGCGUGCGCAGGCGGUUCGCUAAGACCGAUGUGAAAUCCCCGGGCUUAACCUGGGAACUGCAUUGGUGACUGGCGGGCUAGAGUAUGGCAGAGGGGGGUAGAAUUCCACGUGUAGCAGUGAAAUGCGUAGAGAUGUGGAGGAAUACCGAUGGCGAAGGCAGCCCCCUGGGCCAAUACUGACGCUCAUGCACGAAAGCGUGGGGAGCAAACAGG